rnacentral:rRNA from 1 species
UACGUAGGCAGCAAGCGUUGUUCGGAGUUACUGGGCGUAAAGAGUGCGUAGGCGGUCCUAUAAGUUCCGUGUGAAAUCUCCCGGCUCAACUGGGAGGGUGCGCGGAAGACUGUAGGGCUUGAGUGUGGGAGAGGUAAGCGGAAUUCCUGGUGUAGCGGUGAAAUGCGUAGAUAUCGGGAGGAACACCGGUGGCGAAGGCGGCCUUCUGGACGGAUACUGACGCUGAGACGCGAAAGCGUGGGGAGCAAACAGG